rnacentral:rRNA from 1 species
UACAGAGGUCUCAAGCGUUGUUCGGAUUCAUUGGGCGUAAAGGGUGCGUAGGCGGCGCGGUAAGUCGGGUGUGAAAUCUGGGCUUAACUCCGAAACUGCAUUCGAUACUGCCGUGCUUGAGGACUGGAGAGGAGACUGGAAUUUACGGUGUAGCGGUGAAAUGCGUAGAUAUCGUAAGGAAGACCAGUGGCGAAGGCGGGUCUCUGGACAGUUCCUGACGCUGAGGCACGAAGGCCAGGGGGAGCAAACGGG